rnacentral:rRNA from 1 species
GGAAUCUUCCACAAUGGACGAAAGUCUGAUGGAGCAACGCCGCGUGAGUGAUGAAGGUUUUCGGAUCGUAAAACUCUGUUGUAAGGGAAGAACAAGUACGAGAGGGAAUGCUCGUACCUUGACGGUACCUUGCGAGAAAGCCACGGCUAACUACGUGCCAGCAGCCGCGGUAAUACGUAGGUGGCAAGCGUUGUCCGGAAUUAUUGGGCGUAAAGCGCGCGCAGGCGGCCUUUUAAGUCUGAUGUGAAAGCCCCCGGCUCAACCGGGGAGGGUCAUUGGAAACUGGAAGGCUUGAGUACAGAAGAGAAGAGUGGAAUUCCAUGUGUAGCGGUGAAAUGCGUAGAGAUGUGGAGGAACACCAGUGGCGAAGGCGACUCUUUGGUCUGUAACUGACGCUGAGGCGCGAAAGCGUGGGGAGCAAACAGGAUUAGAUACCCUGG